rnacentral:rRNA from 1 species
GAUGAACGCUGGCGGCGUGCCUAAUACAUGCAAGUCGAGCGAACGGACGAGAAGCUUGCUUCUCUGAUGUUAGCGGCGGACGGGUGAGUAACACGUGGAUAACCUACCUAUAAGACUGGGAUAACUUCGGGAAACCGGAGCUAAUACCGGAUAAUAUUUUGAACCGCAUGGUUCAAAAGUGAAAGACGGUCUUGCUGUCACUUAUAGAUGGAUUCGCGCUGCAUUAGCUAGUUGGUAAGGUAACGGCUUACCAAGGCAACGAUGCAUAGCCGACCUGAGAGGGUGAUCGGCCACACUGGAACUGAGACACGGUCCAGACUCCUACGGGAGGCAGCAGUAGGGAAUCUUCCGCAAUGGGCGAAAGCCUGACGGAGCAACGCCGCGUGAGUGAUGAAGGUCUUCGGAUCGUAAAACUCUGUUAUUAGGGAAGAACAUAUGUGUAAGUAACUGUGCACAUCUUGACGGUACCUAAUCAGAAAGCCACGGCUAACUACGUGCCAGCAGCCGCGGUAAUACGUAGGUGGCAAGCGUUAUCCGGAAUUAUUGGGCGUAAAGCGCGCGUAGGCGGUUUUUUAAGUCUGAUGUGAAAGCCCACGGCUCAACCGUGGAAGGUCAUUGGAAACUGGAAAACUUGAGUGCAGAAGAGGAAAGUGGAAUUCCAUGUGUAGCGGUGAAAUGCGCAGAGAUAUGGAGGAACACCAGUGGCGAAGGCGACUUUCUGGUCUGUAACUGACGCUGAUGUGCGAAAGCGUGGGGAUCAAACAGG